rfam:Trichobilharzia regenti genome assembly, scaffold: TRE_scaffold0000731
AUCUAGUUGAAGAGUCCUAACUAGGACAAAAUGCGCAUCCUGGAU